rnacentral:rRNA from 1 species
CUGGGACUGAGACACGGCCCAGACUCCUACGGGAGGCAGCAGUGGGGAUUUUCCGCAAUGGGCGAAAGCCUGACGGAGCAAUACCGCGUGGGGGAAGAAGGUCUGUGAUUGUAAACCCCUUUUCUCUGGGACGAUAAUGACGGUACCAGAGGAAUAAGCCUCGGCUACUCCGUGCCAGCAGCCGCGGUAAGACGGAGGAGGCAAGCGUUAUCCGGAAUUAUUGGGGUAAAGGGUGCGUAGGUGGUUCAUCAAGUCCCUUGUCAAAGCGUGGUGCUUAACGCCAUCAGGCGAGGGAAACUGGUGGGCUAGAGUGCAACAGGGGCAGGAGGAAUUCCCGGUGUAGGGUGAAAUGCGUAGAUAUCGGGAAGAACACCGGUGGCGGAGGCGUUCUGCUGGGUUGCACUGACACUGAGGCACGAAAGCUAGGGGAGCGAAUGGGAUUAGAUACCCCAGUAGUCCUACCGUAAACGAUGGACACUAGGCGUAGGCAGAAUCGACCCUGUCUGUGCCGUAGCCAACGGUUAAGUGUCCCGCCUGGGGAGUACGGCCGCAAGGUUGAAACUCAAAUGAAUUGACGGG